UAAUGGAUUUCACUGGGUUCAUUUGGGAGCCCUUUCUUCUUAGUGGCUUCUUUUAUCAAUUAAUUUAUGUAUUCAAUAAACAUUGAACACUGUUCCAGUUAUCUAUUGCUGUGUAAUAAGCUACCCUAAAACCUAGUGACUUAGUGCAAUAAUUUUUUAUUACCACAUGUAGUUCUUAAUGUUGAUGGGCUCAGCUGGGCAGUUCUUUCUUGAGUCCCACAUACAGUUGUGGUCAGAUGGUAGGAGAGGCCAGAGCCACCUUCACUCUGCUCCUGUUACUGGGCUCGUCAGGCCUCUCUCUCUUCCCCCACAUGAUUAGUUUGGGCAUCCUCAGAGCUUGUUGAUCUUUUGGUAAUCAACCUGCUUCCCUUGUGACCAACUUUGUCCAACACGUGUAUUCUGAAAAACUUCAUGUGGAAGUUGCCAAUCCUCUCUGACCUAGCCCUAGAAGUCAUCUUCUCUCCUCUAUUUGUCAAAGUGGUCACCGGACUUGACAAUCUACUUCUUGGACUCCAAGAGUUGGAGAUGGAGAUUCCACCUCACAAUGGUGGAAUGUCUUGAACCUUCAAAGAUGACCACCUAAGAUGACAGUGAUCACCUCAAUACCAAGUUACCUCUGGCACCUGCUAUGUGACAAGCCUAUGGGUCCCAUGGGAACAGAAAGUUUUGAGGGUGUUUACUGUUUGUGCAAGAUGACUGGUUGGGUAAAGAAGUUCAAAGUUUAUUAUCUGCAGAACAAAUAAAGCCUGGGCAAAGGUAACUGAAGUGAAUGUCUCCCACCUUGUCCCUUGAGCCUGUCUAAGGGGAUGUUUGCGCCAAAGAUUGCAUAACUGAGCACCUAAACUAUGCAAGUCAAAUGGAGAGGAGGUGCAUUUUAGACUCCUACUGGUUAAAAAAGUCACUGUCUUUUAUUUUUCUUGGUUUGAGAGGCAGUUGAUGAUGGUGCCUAUAUGAAAAUCAUUUUAGAAAUCUAUUUUUGGAUAAGCUAUUUCUAACUAUCUGGGGUUACUUGUCAGAUAGCAUCUGAGUGGCUGAAUUAGAAUGUUUCCUUCUCCCCCAAAUGUAGACAGAACAUAGUGCUAGGUAAAUACUAAAAUAAGUGUACUAAUUCAAGGUUCAUCUGGACUUUUAUUGUUGGUGCUGAUUAAUGACAUCAAGGAUAGCUAGACUGUUCUUGUGAUUAGUCCAUAGUAAUUACUGACAAGUAUUCAGAAUGGUCAAACAUAUGAUGUGAAGCUCAGCUAUCUUUUAGAAGAUAACAGCCUAUGCAUAAAUGUUGAUAGGA
ensembl:lncRNA